GCUGAAGUUCUAAUAGGCUAAUGUAUUUUAUAUAUAAAAAAUAAGUAAGAAAGGGCUAGGGUGUGGUUCAGCAGUAAUGUGCUUUCCUAGCUUACUUCAGGCCCUGCGUUCAAUCCCCAGCACCACACAUACAUGCAAAGACAUAAGUAAAUUUCUUUUUUCAAAAAGGACUGGGGAUAUAGUUCUCUAGUAAAUGGAACAAAUGUUACAUAGCACAUAACUAUAGUAUGAUUUUGACUUUUCUAAAUAUUUAGAAUCUUUUUGAAACUGAGAAGAUGCUUACUCACUGAGGAAAGUUUUGUACUUCAAUGUUGAUUCAUUGACUGUAACAAAUGCACCAUUGUAGUGAGAGAUGCAGAUAAUAGGGAAGUUUGGGAGGUUGGGCGUAUAUGUGGGAAUCAUGUACUUUCUGCACUAUACUGCUAUGAACCUUAAACGGCUCUAAAAGACACAAUCUGCUAAGCAAAAGAAAAAGAAUGGAUCCAGAGAGUUCUUUUGAAAACAGUUAUUAUGUCUGUUAAUAGGAGAUUUUGGUUGGUAUGUUACAUUAUUGUCCAAACCCUCAACUCCAUUUAAAAUUUCUCUGUCAAUGAUUCCAAAACUUUAAGAGGAAGGCCAUGUUCCUGUGUUCAAGAUAUACAUAUAACCUAAUUCUUGAGUCUCUUAUAAUCCAUGCUAGUUGGUCACUUAAUUGGAUUUUGUAAAACUUUAGUUUUUACAAUAAGUCAAUGUUUGUCAGAUACGCAGCAUGUGCCUAUAUUUCCAGCUACUCAGGAGGCUGAGGCAGCAAGGAGUUUGAGGCCAGUCUGGGCAACAUAGCAAGAUUCCAGCUCAAUAUAAAAACAAAAGCAACAAUAAAAAAGUGUUUGUUAUAUCUUGGAAUCUUGUGUUUUCAGAAAGUUUUUCUCUGGCUAGUAAUUUUAAUUUACAAGGUAAUUCUAGCAACCAUUAUCCCUCAACUCUUAAAGCUUCCAGAAGAGAUGUG
rnacentral:lncRNA from 1 species